rnacentral:rRNA from 1 species
GCCCUUCGGGGUGCCGCAGGCGCGAAAACUCUACAAUGCAGGCAACUGCGAUAGGGGAACAUCGAGUGAUACUCAUCUUGGGUGUCUGUCCUCCCGUCUAAAAAACGGGAGUUAGCAAGGGCCGGGCAAGACCGGUGCCAGCCGCCGCGGUAAUACCGGCGGCUCGAGUGGUGGCCGAUAUUAUUGAGUCUAAAGGGUCCGUAGCCGGCUUUGCAAGUCUUUUGGGAAAUCCAGCGGCUUAACCGUUAGUCGUCCGGGAGAUACUACAUUGCUUGGGACUGGGAGAGGUAGGAGGUACUCAGGGGGUAGGAGUGAAAUCCUGUAAUCCUUUGGGGACCACCGGUGGCGAAGGCGUCCUACCAGAACAGGUCCGACGGUGAGGGACGAAAGCUAGGGGCACGAACCGGAUUAGAUACCCGGGUAGUCCUAGCCGUAAACGAUGCUCGCUAGGUGUCACAACAAUCGUGAAUUGUUGUGGUGCCGUAGGGAAGCCGUGAAGCGAGCCACUUGGGAAGUACGACCGCAAGGUUGAAACUUAAAGGAAUUGGCGGGGGAGCAC